rnacentral:rRNA from 1 species
AGCAAAUAGAUACCCCGGUAGUCCACGCCCUAAACGAUGUCAACUGGCUUUACGGAGUAUCGACCCUCUGUGAGGCGAAAGCUAAACGCGUUAAGUUGACCGCCUGGGUAGUACGACCGCAAGGUUAAAACUCAAAGGAAUAGACGGGGGCUUGCACAAGCGGUGGAGCGUGUGGCUUAAUUCGUCGCUAAGCGAAGAACCUUACCAGGGCUAGAAAUCCUACUGCACGUCUAGCGAAAGCUAGAAAGCCUUCGAGGGUGUAGGACAGGUGAUGCAUGGCUGUCGUCAGUUCGUGGUUUGAAUCGUUCCCUUCAGUGGGGUAACGAACGCAACCCUCGUUGCCAGUUACAAGUGUCUGGCGAGACUGCCCCCUCACGGGGGAGGAAGGUGAGGAUGACGCCAAGUCAGCAUGUCCCUCUGAUGUCCUGGGCUGCACACGCGCUACAAUCGCCUUUACAAAGGGACGCAAUGCGGUAACGCGGAGCAAAUCCUUAAAAGAGGCGCCAGUUCGGAUUGGGGUCUGCAACCCGA